UACGGAAGGCAGCAGUGGGGAAUAAUUGCACAAUGGGCGCAAGCCUGAUGCAGCCAUGCCGCGUGUAUGAAGAAGGCCUUCGGGUUGUAAAGUACUUUCAGUCGUGAGGAAGGUGUUAAGGUUAAUAACCUUAGCAAUUGACGUUAGCGACAGAAGAAGCACCGGCUAACUCCGUGCCAGCAGCCGCGGUAAUACGGAGGGUGCGAGCGUUAAUCGGAAUUACUGGGCGUAAAGGGCACGCAGGCGGUUAAUUAAGUUGGAUGUGAAAUCCCCGGGCUUAACCUGGGAAUGGCAUUCAAGACUGGUUAGCUAGAGUCUUGUAGAGGGGGUUAGAAUUCCAUGUGUAGCGGUGAAAUGCGUAGAGAUGUGGAGGAAUACCGGUGGCGAAGGCGGCCCCUGGACAAAAGGACUGACGCUCAUGUGC
rnacentral:rRNA from 1 species